AUACGUAGGGAGCGAGCGUUGUCCGGAAUUACUGGGCGUAAAGGGCGCGUAGGCGGCGCUUCAAGUCGUCUGUCAAAUGGAAGGGCUUAACCCUUUUUCGCAGACGAAACUGGAGAGCUUGAGAAGCAGAGAGGCAAACAGAAUUCCUGGUGUAGCGGUGAAAUGCGUAGAUAUCAGGAAGAAUACCAGUGGCGAAGGCGGUUUGCUGGCUGCAUACUGACGCUGAAGCGCGAAAGCCAGGGGAGCGAACGGGAUUAGAUACCCCGGUAGUCCUGACAGUAAACGAUGUAUGCUGGGUGUGAGACUAGCGAUAGUUUCGUGCCGAAGUUAACGCGAUAAGGAUACCGCCUGGGGAGUACGGUCGCAAGAUUGAAACUCAAAGGAAUUGACGGGG
rnacentral:rRNA from 1 species